AAAGCUUUAAGUUAAAAAAACUAUUAACCUUCAAAGUUAAAAUUACAGGAAUUAAUGUAAGCUUUA
rnacentral:tRNA from 1 species